rnacentral:rRNA from 1 species
CCCUUAGAUGUUCUGGGCCGCACGCGCGCUACACUGAUGCAUUCAACGAGUCUAAAACCUGCUCUGAUAGGGGUGGGUAAUCUUUUGAAUGUGCAUCGUGAUUGGGAUAGAUGAUUGCAAUUUUUCAUCUUCAACGAGGAAUGCCUAGUAAACGCAAGUCAUCAGCUUGCAUUGAUUACGUCCCUGCCCUUUGUACACACCGCCCGUCGCUCCUACCGAUUGAAUGAUCCGAUGAAUAUCAUGGAUUGAGGAUGCAAGUAGGUUAGCCUAUCUUCAUCUUUGAGAAGUGAAGUAAAUCUUAUCAUUUAGAGGAAGGAGAAGUCGUAACA